rnacentral:rRNA from 1 species
UACGUAGGGUGCAAGCGUUGUCCGGAAUCAUUGGGCGUAAAGCGCGUGUAGGCGGUCCGGUAAGUCCGCUGUGAAAGUCGGGGGCUCAACCCUCGGAUGCCGGUGGAUACUGUCGGGCUUGAGUACGGAAGAGGCGAGUGGAAUUCCUGGUGUAGCGGUGAAAUGCGCAGAUAUCAGGAGGAACACCGGUGGCGAAGGCGGGUCUCUGGGCCGAUACUGACGCUGAGGAGCGAAAGCGUGGGGAGCGAACGGG